GGGGAUUUGGCUCAGUGGUAGAGCACUUGCCUAGCAAGUGCAAGGCCCUGGGUUCGGUUCCCAGCUCCG
rnacentral:tRNA from 1 species